rnacentral:rRNA from 1 species
AUUGAACGCUGGCGGCAGGCCUAACACAUGCAAGUCGAACGGGAACAGGAAGAAGCUUGCUUCUUUGCUGACGAGUGGCGGACGGGUGAGUAAUGUCUGGGAAACUGCCUGAUGGAGGGGGAUAACUACUGGAAACGGUAGCUAAUACCGCAUAACGUCGCAAGACCAAAGAGGGGGACCUUCGGGCCUCUUGCCAUCGGAUGUGCCCAGAUGGGGUUAGCUAGUAGGUGGGGUAACGGCUCACCUAGGCGACGAUCCCUAGCUGGUCUGAGAGGAUGACCAGCCACACUGGAACUGAGACACGGUCCAGACUCCUACGGGAGGCCGCAGUGGGGAAUAUUGCACAAUGGGCGAAAGCCUGAUGCAGCCAUGCCGCGUGUAUGAAGAAGGCCUUCGGGUUGUAAAGUACUUUCAGCGGGGAGGAAGGGAGUAAAGUUAAUACCUUUGCUCAUUGACGGUACCCGCAGAAGAAGCACCGGCUAACUCCGUG